rnacentral:rRNA from 1 species
AGCUCAGUUGUGCUGGCUUGNUCAAAUGAGAGGCAUGUGCAUGCUUUGGGUUUCACUUUUUCUUACAUUCACACCAUGUGCACCUUUUGUAGGUCUUUCGAGAUCUAUGUAUUUUUAUUAUACUCCAAUGUAUGUUCAUAGAAUGUCUUUUAUCUUAUUGCGCAGUUGCUUUUUCUUUUUNAAAAGUGAUUGAUGCAAGUAAGUUGUUUUUACAACUUUCAGCAAUGGAUCUCUUGGCUCUCGCAUCGAUGAAGAACGCAGCGAAUUGCGAUAUGUAAUGUGAAUUGCAGAUUUUCCGUGAAUCAUCGAAUUUUUGAACGCACCUUGCACUCCUUGGUAUUCCGAGGAGUAUGCCUGUUUGAGUGUCAUUAAAUUCUCAACGCCUUACAUUUUUGUUGUUUCAAAAGUGUACAUGGAUGGUUGGAUUGUGGAGGGAAUGCUGGCAAUUUCUGUCGGCUCCUCUGAAAUGCAUUAGCAAGGAUAAGUUUUGCAAUUGUUGNUGUGAUAAUGAUCAUCGCAUUUGACUGAAGCUUUUGAGUCUUUGCUUACAAUANUCCUUUAGGACGUCUUAUUAAAUUUUNACCUCAAAUCANGUAGGACUACCCGCUGAACUUAAGCA